UACGUAGGGGGCGAGCGUUGCCCGGAUUUAUUGGGCGUAAAGAGCGUGUAGGCGGCCAGGUAGGUCCGUUGUGAAAACUCGAGGCUCAACCUCGAGACGUCGAUGGAAACCAUCUGGCUAGAGUCCGGAAGAGGAGAGUGGAAUUCCUGGUGUAGCGGUGAAAUGCGCAGAUAUCAGGAAGAACACCGAUGGCGAAGGCAGAUCUCUGGGCCGUAACUGACGCUGAGGAGCGAAAGCAUGGGGAGCGAACAGG
rnacentral:rRNA from 1 species